GGCCGCUCAGGACUCCAAAGCCCUUGCUUCCUAGAGUCGUUCAGAGGCGAAUUCUUGGAGCUUUGGCCGUGGCUUUUCAAAAGAAGAGCCACCAGGGUUGUGCGCGGAAACGCCUCAAUCUCCCGUAUCGGAAAGGAGAACCUUGGCUUCUUUA
rnacentral:ncRNA from 2 species